GAAAUGCCCGUGGGAGCGCAGCUAGCCACGUCGGAGAACACACGCGGUAAGGAAAACCAGCUCCUGGGCCCCCAGGCCAGCACCCCCUCUGAAUUCCAGGGGAGCUCUGGAAGGGUCAUCUCUACUAAAUCUGCAGAGAUAGGUUUGACUGCUGCUUGCCCGUUUCCUGCUCUCUCAGCCUUCCUCCUGUGAGCCGUAGCCAGGGCUCUGGCAGCCGGAGCCCCUUCGGGGGAACCCCUGCUCUGGGGCUGUGCUCCCGGCCGCCGGGGGGGCUGUCGGUGCUUCCUGGUGGUGGCACGGAGCUGGGUCAGGGAGCUGUAGGGGCCGAGCGUGGGGUAGAAGCUGGAGCCGAUGUUGGGUGGGUGGUGGUGGCCGUGGAGUGGGGGGGAAGCUGGCCGAGACCUGGAGGGCAGGGUCCCAGUGCCGGUACUGGCCCUGGAAGCGGGGGCUGCCGUACCAGCCGUAGUACAGGACGCGCAGGUUGUAGGAGGGGCCGUCUGCUGCCCCCCGCCACGGGGGGCCGGUCGGUCGGGACCCACGAGGCUCCUCGCCAGACCGUCCCGUGGCUCAGCCCAGGCACGGCCCCGGCGGGGAGCGGGCAGAGACGCCUGGGGAUGGGGAAGGACAGGGGCUGCCGUUCACCCGGGGUUCGCUUGAAACGAGCAGUGGGUGAAGGACUAAACCGAUGGGAGGAAAGGAAAACACGCUCCAGCAAACACCGAAGCGUGACUAUCGGAGCUGUUAGAGGAAACAACAUUUUAAUUGGGUGAAUCUGUUAUGCGCAAAUGUUACAGGCGAUAAAACUCUGCUAAAUGGAAACCCAGUAAUGAGAUGGAACCUGUCAAGGGAACAAAUUGCCUGCAAAUCGGAAGCAGGCUUCUGAGGCGCCCCAGCAGCUUUGGGGCUUCCAUUAUUUCGCUUGGCUGAAGCUCGUGCCACCCCACAGCGCUGGAGCCUUCUGGCAGCAUUUCCUCACGACAGCCACCCAUGCAGAGUCGUGGUCUGCAGGAGGAGUGUGGGAGUGUUGUGCCCGGAGCUGAAGGCGGCACGAGGGUUCACGCCGGGCUGGGGCACCUGGGACAGGCGUGUGGCUUCCAGCCGUGCGUAAGCAGCGAGAGGACGAACUUCCCGAGGAACGGCCGCUCCGCACGGCAUUCCCAGCCGCUGCUGCGGCGCUCGCCGCCCCGGCCAAGGCCACUGGUGCGACCAGGGACGGAGACAGACGGACAGGCCCGUGCCCAGCGCGCGCGGACAGGACGGCAGCGGGUCAGGCGGCCGGCGGGGAGGGUUAUUUUCACUGUGGUUUCAAAACUAUCCUUCUGUCUCCACUUACAGCAGGCUCAUCCCGUGGUUUGGUGGCCCUGGGGAGUCGGGCGGGGGACUGAGCGCUGGCCGUGAGUGACAGAGGUGACCGGACAACCCGGGUGUGUUCCUCCUCCUCCGCUUAGGGAGGCUGGCCCCUGGCCCCGCUGCUCCAGGAGAUGAGGGCCGGUGUGCUGUGGGGCCGGGGCCCCGGCACCGCCCUGGCUGCACCGCAGCCCGUCUCCGGGCUCAGCGGCCCUGCCCUGGCCAUCACCUGUACCUGGUAGGAAUAAAUCCAAUAGCCUCAAAUUAAAAGGCUGCUCUGCUUCCUUCACCCCAGCAAUGGCUUUCAGUCUUCCAGUCUUGCCAAAGAAAAAUUUAUGAGAUCGUUUCCCCAAAACAACAUGAUACUUCAAAAUCGUAAUUAAAAUACCUCUGGCUGUUCUCAUAUUAAGCUUUUAUAAGUGCUUGAAAUAAUAUUUCAGAUAAAUGGAAAAGCUUUGUACUCUAUUAGCAUGACAUAGCCUUCUUCUAAUGAAACACAUCUCUUAACAUCAAAUCCUCAAUAUACAUUGAAAAUACUC